CAGCCGCGGUAAUACAGAGGGUGCGAGCGUUAAUCGGAUUUACUGGGCGUAAAGCGUGCGUAGGCGGCUUCUUAAGUCGGAUGUGAAAUCCCUGAGCUUAACUUAGGAAUUGCAUUCGAUACUGGGAAGCUAGAGUAUGGGAGAGGAUGGUAGAAUUCCAGGUGUAGCUGUGAAAUGCGUAGAGAUCUGGAGGAAUACCGAUGGCGAAGGCAGCCAUCUGGCCUAAUACUGACGCUGAGGUACGAAAGCAUGGGGAGCAAACAGGAUUAGAUACCCGUGUAGUCCCUGUCUCUUAUACACA
rnacentral:rRNA from 1 species